UACAGAGGGUGCAAGCGUUAAUCGGAAUUACUGGGCGUAAAGCGUGCGUAGACGGUUAUGUAAGUCAGAUGUGAAAGCCCCGGGCUUAACCUGGGAAUGGCAUUUGAGACUGCAUAGCUAGGGUGCGGAAGAGGGAAGCGGAAUUUCCGGUGUAGCGGUGAAAUGCGUAGAUAUCGGAAGGAACACCAGUGGCGAAAGCGGCUUCCUGGUCCAGCACCGACGUCAGGCACGAAAGCGUGGGGAGCAAACAGGG
rnacentral:rRNA from 1 species